rnacentral:sRNA from 1 species
CCAGGCUGGAGUGCAGUGGCGUGAUCUUGGCUCACUGCAACCUCUGCCUCCCAGGUUCAAGUGAUUCUCCUACCUCAGCCUCCUGAGUAGCUGGGACUACAGCAGCCCGACACCACACCCUGCUAAUUUUUGUAUUUUUAUUAGAGACAGGGUUUUGCCGUGUUGGUCAGGCUGGUCUCAAACUCCUGACCUCAGGUGUUCCGCCCACCUUGGCCUCCCAAAGUGCUGGGAUUCCAGGCAUGAGCCACCGCGCCCGGCCAGAUAGAUCCCUUUUUAUGCACCCCAAGGCCAUUACAGGCUUCCUGUUCUGGUGCAUCCCCAAGUGCUGACAGACAUCUUCAGAGACGAUAAGGAUUUCGAUUUCAUCUCUCAAAUCUCAUUCCGCGUGUGACAACCCUGGCUCUGUGAUUUUUAAGGGCACCUGUCGAUUAUCUCCGGUGUUUCUGUUGUCUCUAACAAUAGCAUGGAUGUGUUUUUCUUUCUCCAGACUAACAAGGGGGAUGAACUCUCCAACCGGAUCCAGAACACUUUAGGCAAUUAUGAUGAAAUGAAAGACUUUUUAACUGAUAGAUCCAAUCAGAGUCAUCUCGUUGGAGUUCCCAAACCUGGGGUUCCUCAGACUCCUGUGAACAAGAUCGAUGAACAUUUUGUUGCAGAUUCAAGAGCCCAGACCCAGCCUUCAUCUAUCUGUAGCACUACAACUUCCACACCAGCAGCUGUCCCCGUGCAGCAGAGUAAGAGAGGCACUAUGGGCUGGCAGAAGGCUGGGCACCCACCCUCCGACGGCCAACAGAGAGCAACACAGCAGGGCUCUCUCAGGACCUUGCUUGGAGAUGGUGUUGGCAGACAGCAGCCGCGGGCCAAACAAGUGUGCAAUGUGGAGGUGGGCCUUCAGACCCAGGAGAGGCCACCUGCCAUGGCGGCCAAGCACAGCAGCAGCGGACACUGUGUUCAGAACUUUCCUCCAUCCCUAGCUUCAAAACCCAGCCUGGUCCAGCAGAAACCGACCGCGUACGUGCGGCCAAUGGACGGCCAAGAUCAGGCCCCUGAUGAAUCUCCUAAGCUGAAGUCGUCUUCGGAAACUAGCGUGCACUGCACAUCAUACAGGGGAGUCCCUGCCAGCAAGCCGGAGCCUGCCAGAGCCAAGGCCAAGCUCUCCAAGUUCAGCAUCCCCAAGCAGGGGGAGGUGAGUCUUUAUCAGCACCAUUCACGUGCAACUGCGUAGUUACAAGUGACAAUUUGACCCUUGUGAAUUCAGUUUCCAUGUUUCUUUUUUUUUUCAGUGAUGUGGUUGAUUUCAUGUGGUAGGAUUUGUGGCAGUCACUAAAAGGGGAGGCAGACUUAAAUAAUGAUUUCUUAAAAUCUCAAAUUUAUUAUAAUUUGAAUUUUUAGAGUUCCAGCAAAUGCAGUUGUGUGUGUAUGUAUUAAUGAGGAAAGGAAUGUCCACUUCAGUAUAGUUUGAGGAUUUUCUUCUGAACAGCUAGUGUUCACUGAGGUAUAAAUAAAAUUAAGAAAUAAGUGAAUAAGUGAUUCAGAAGUAAGAAAAGCACUUAAAAGCUAUAAUUUCAGUGUCUGUUUACCUAUUUAAGGUAAAUUUUUAUGUAAAAGAGUUCCAAAACUCUUUUAACAUUUUUGUGUUUUGAAAUAUUUUAACACAAACUUUACCAAAUAA